rnacentral:tRNA from 1 species
UCCCUGGUAGUCUAGUGGUUAAGACUCUGUGCUCCCAGUGCAGAGGGCAUGGGUUUGAUUCCAGGUCAGGGAA